AUGAAGUAAGGAAAUGAAAUAAUGAAUAAAGACCCAGUUUCCAGAAUCUCUCCACGAAGUAGAGAAACUCAUUCCAAUCCAGAAGAGUCUGAAGAAGAUGAAGAUGUUCAAGCUGAAAGAGUCCAAGCAGCAAAUGCACUCACUACUCCAAACUUGGAGGAGGAACCAGUCAUAACUGCAAACUGUUUACACAAGGAAUAUUAUGAGACAAAGAAAGUUGCUUUUCAACAAGAAAGAAGAAAGCAGCCAUCAGAAAUGUUUCCUUUUGUGUUAAAAAAAAGGUGAAGUUUUGGGAUUACUAGGACACAAUGGAGCUGGCAAAAGUACUUCCAUUAAAAUGAUAACUGGGUGCACAAUGCCAACUGCAGGAGUGGUGGUGUUACAAGGCAACAGAGCAUCAGUAAGGCAACAGCGUGACAACAGCCUCAAGUUCUUGGGUACUGCCCUCAGGAGAACUCACUGUGGCCCAAACUUACAAUGAAAGAACACCUGGAGUUGUAUGCAGCUGUGAAAGGACUGGGUAAAGAAGAUGCUGCUCUUAGUAUUUCAUGAUUGGUGGAAGCUCUCAAGCUCCAGGAGCAACUUAAGGCUCCCGUGAAAACUCUAUCAGAGGAAAUAAAGAGAAAGCUAUGCUUCGUGCUGAGCAUACUGGGGAACCCAUCAGUGGUGCUUCUAGACGAGCUGUUCACCGGGAUGGACCCUGAGGGGCAGCAGCAAUGUGGCAGAUACUUCAGGCUACCGUUAAAAACAAGGAGAGGGGCGCCCUCUUGAAUACCUAUUACAUGUCAGAGGCUAAGUCUGUUUGUGACCGUGUGGCCAUCAUGGUGUCAGGAACGCUAAGGUGUAUUGGUUCCAUUCAACAGCUGAAAAACAAGUUUGGUAAAUAUUAUUUACUAGAAAUAAAAAUGAAAGAACCUACUGAGGUGGAAGCUCUCCACACAGAGAUUUUGAAGCUUUUCCCACAGGCUGCUUGGCCAGAAAGAUAUUCCUCUUUAAUGGCAUAUAAGUUACCCAUGGAGGAUGUCCAUCCUCUGUCUCAGGCCUUUUUCAAAUUAGAGGCAGUGAAACAGACCUUCAACCUGGAGGAAUACAGCCUCUCUCAGGCUACCUUGGAGCAGGUGUUCUUAGAACUCUGUAAAGAGCAGGCACUGCUGGAAAUGUUGAUGAUAAAAUUGAUACAACAGUUCGAUGGAAACUUCUCCCACAGAAGAUUCUUAAAACGAAGAACCUCCUAACAUUCAAUUUUAAGUCCUACUACAUUGUUAGUUUCCAUAAUUCUACAAAAAUGUUUCCUUUUACUUCAGUUAACAAAAGAAAAUAUUCAGUAGUUUAAACAUGCAACAAUGAUUAAAGUUUUCAUUUUUAAAAAUUUUAGGAUGAAGGAAACAAGGAAAUAUAGGGAAAAGUAGUAGACAAAAUUAACAAAAUCAGACAUGUUAUUCAUCCCCAACAUGGGUCUAUUUUGUGCUUAAAAAUAAUUUAAAAAUCAUAAAAUAUUAGGUUUGUUUUUGGUUAUUAUCAAUAAAGUUAACACUGAGCACAUUUUACAAAUAAAAAUGAGUUUUUUGCCUAAAUUUCAAAUGUAUCAGCUAUUUUUAAACAUUAGUUACUCAGAUUCUAAUUUAAUGUGACAUUGACUAUAAUAAGAUCUGAUGAAAUGGCACAACAUAACAUUUAAUUAUAAUGACAUUCUGAUUAUAAAAUAGAUGUGAAUUUUAGUACAUAUUGAAAUUAUAUGGAAGAAGAUAACCAUAAUCUGUAAGAAAGUACCACAGUUAAUAUUUUCCUUAGCCAACUAAUAUUCAAUGUAUUUUUAUGGGUCCUUUUUCAAAGGUAAUAUCAGUAGGCAUAGUCU